rnacentral:lncRNA from 1 species
AUGGGAUUGAAGACCCAUGGAUCCCAUCCCAAACCAUCUGGGAUUCUGGGAUCAGGGACACUCAGGAUCCAUCCCGGGGAAUUUUUAUGGAAUUCAGGGAUGGAAAAGGGAAGGGACACCCUUCCUGGAGCCGGGAAUUCCCAAAGAUUCCUUCCCAGCGAGGAGUUGGGAUGGGGCUGGAUCCAAUCCCGGAGAGGCAGAGCGGGAUUUGGGAAAAGGGCCCGGAAUGCUGGGACAGGGCUGGGAUUUGGGAACCUCGAAAUUCUGGGAAUGCCCAAGGCUGGGCUGGGACCACCCUGGGAACAUCAGGGCUGGAAUUCCUGGGAUUCUGGGCUGGGAUCACUCUGGGAACAUCGGAUGGGUCUGGAAUUCCUGGGAUUCCGGGCUGGGAUAACUGGGAAUAUCAAAGGGGCCUGGAAUUCCCAGGAUCCGCUUCCAACGGCCGCUCUCUGCCUCCAUUCCAGAGGAUUCCUUCUGCUCGGAGGAUUCCCUGCGCUCCGAGGAUUCCCUGCGCUCCGAGGAUUCCCUGCGGGAGGAUUCCCGCUGCUCGGAGGAUUCCGAGGAUUCCUGGGAGCGGCAGUUCCGGGCGCGUUUGGGCUCGCGGCCGCCGCUGCCGGCGGAGGCGGCGCUGGAUCCGGCGCUGGGAUCCGUGCGGGAAUUGUUCUGCGCCUGCACCGCGGCCGAGCCCCGGCAGCGCCCGCCCGCCGCCGCCCUGUGCCGGGCACUGGAGCCACUGCCCAUGGCAAUUCCACAGGAACUCCUGGAGUGAGGGCUCGGAGCUCCAGAACACCGGAAUUCCCGGAGCUCCAGAGCCCUGAAAUUCCCAGAGCUCCAGAGCCCCGAAAUUCCCAAAGCUCCAGCCCCAACAUUCCCAGGUUUCCAACUCUGCCACGCCCUGGAGCCGCUGCCCAUGGCAAUUCCACAGGAACUCCUGGAGUGAGGGCUCAGAGCUCCAGAAUUCCCGGAGUUCCAGCCCCAAAAUUCCCAGAUUUCCAACUCUGCUGGGCGCUGGAGCCGCUCCCUGUGGGAAUUCCCCAGGAACUCCUGGAGUGA